UAGGGAAUCUUCGGCAAUGGACGAAAGUCUGACCGAGCAACGCCGCGUGAGUGAAGAAGGUUUUCGGAUCGUAAAACUCUGUUGUUAGAGAAGAACAAGGACGUUAGUAACUGAACGUCCCCUGACGGUAUCUAACCAGAAAGCCACGGCUAACUACGUGCCAGCAGCCGCGGUAAUACGGAGGUGGCAAGCGUUGUCCGGAUUUAUUGGGCGUAAAGCGAGCGCAGGCGGUUUCUUAAGUCUGAUGUGAAAGCCCCCGGCUCAACCGGGGAGGGUCAUUGGAAACUGGGAGACUUGAGUGCAGAAGAGGAGAGUGGAAUUCCAUGUGUAGCGGUGAAAUGCGUAGAUAAAUGGAGGAACACCAGUGGCGAAGGCGGCUCUCUGGUCUGUAACUGACGCUGAGGCUCGAAAGCGUGGGGAGCAAACAGG
rnacentral:rRNA from 1 species